rnacentral:rRNA from 1 species
CCUACGGGAGGCAGCAGUGAGGAAUCUUCCGCAAUGGGCGAAAGCCUGACGGAGCGACGCCGCGUGUGGGAUGAAGUCUUUCGGGAUGUAAACCACUGUCGGAGGGGAAGAUAGUGACGGUACCCUCCAAGGAAGCCCCGGCUAACUACGUGCCAGCAGCCGCGGUAAU